AAAAAGACAAAACCUGGUUUUCGUGUCAAACGUUUAACAGUCCUUUUUAUUUGAAAAAAUUAUGAAAAAAAUUAAAAAAAAAUUCACGCAUAAAAUAUUAAUCAUGUUUUAUCAUCUAACAACAAUGAAAAUACGAAUUAUAAAAAAAUUUCAUAUAAGAUGAACAGUUAAAGUUGGACACGUAAACCUAGGGUUUGUCUUUUU
rfam:Oryza barthii chromosome 8, whole genome shotgun sequence.